UUUUUCAAUAUUUUCAAUAAUUUUUGAAGUUCAAUAUGGUUGACUCUUUCCUUUUAUUGUUAGUGGCGUAAGGCCCUUUGGAGUAUCUUUACUGGUUGCUGGGUUUGAUGACAAUGGACCACAAUUGUAUCAGGUGGACCCAUCAGGUUCAUAUUUCUCAUGGAAAGCCUCAGCAAUGGGAAAGAAUGUCUCAAAUGCAAAAACAUUCCUAGAGAAGAGGCAUACUGAUGAUAUGGAGCUUGAUGAUGCUGUGCAUACAUCUAUCCUGACGCUGAAGGAGGG